AUUGAACGCUGGCGGCAGGCCUAACACAUGCAAGUCGAACGGUAACAGAAAGCAGCUUGCUGCUUUGCUGACGAGUGGCGGACGGGUGAGUAAUGUCUGGGAAACUGCCUGAUGGAGGGGGAUAACUACUGGAAACGGUAGCUAAUACCGCAUAACGUCGCAAGACCAAAGAGGGGGACCUUCGGGCCUCUUGCCAUCGGAUUUGCCCAGAUGGGAUUAGCUAGUAGGUGGGGUAACGGCUCACCUAGGCGACGAUCCCUAGCUGGUCUGAGAGGAUGACCAGCCACACUGGAACUGAGACACGGUCCAGACUCCUACGGGAGGCAGCAGUGGGGAAUAUUGCACAAUGGCGCAAGCCUGAUGCAGCCAUGCCGCGUGUAUGAAGAAGGCCUUCGGGUUGUAAAGUACUUUCAGCGAGGAGGAAGGUGUUGUGGUUAAUAACCACAGCAAUUGACGUUACUCGCAGAAGAAGCACCGGCUAACUCCGUGCCAGCAGCCGCGGUAA
rnacentral:rRNA from 1 species